rnacentral:rRNA from 1 species
CCUACGGGUGGCAGCAGUGAGGAAUAUUGGUCAAUGGACGAGAGCCUGAACCAGCCAAGUCGCGUGAAGGAUGACUGCCCUAUGGGUUGUAAACUUCUUUUAUCAAGGAAUAAAACGAGGCACGUGUGCCUUUUUGCAUGUACUUUAUGAAUAAGCAUCGGCUAACUCCGUGCCAGCAGCCGCGGUAAUACGGAGGAUCCGAGCGUUAUCCGGAUUUAUUGGGUUUAAAGGGUGCGUAGAUGGGUUGUUAAGUCAGUUGUGAAAGUUUGCGGCUCAACCGUAAAAUUGCAGUUGAAACUGGCAGGCGUGAGUACAGGAGAGGUGGGCGGAAUGCGUGGUGUAGCGGUGAAAUGCUUAGAUAUCACGAAGAACUCCGAUUGCGAAGGCAGCUCACUGGACUGCAACUGACACUGAGGCACGAAAGUGUGGGUAUCAAACAGGAUUAGAUACCCGGGUAGUC